UACGUAGGGUCCAAGCGUUGUCCGGAAUUAUUGGGCGUAAAGAGCUCGUAGGCGGUGUGUCGCGUCGGCCGUGAAAACCUGCAGCUUAACUGUGGGCUUGCGGUCGAUACGGGCAUCACUGGAGUUCGGCAGGGGAGACUGGAAUUCCUGGUGUAGCGGUGAAAUGCGCAGAUAUCAGGAGGAACACCGGUGGCGAAGGCGGGUCUCUGGGCCGAUACUGACGCUGAGGAGCGAAAGCGUGGGGAGCGAACAGG
rnacentral:rRNA from 1 species